rnacentral:rRNA from 1 species
AGAACGAACGCUGGCGGCAGGCUUAACACAUGCAAGUCGAACGCUCGUAGCAAUACGGGAGUGGCAGACGGGUGAGUAACGCGUGGGAACAUACCCUCCGGUUCGGAAUAGCUCAGGGAAACUUGGAUUAAUACCGGAUACGGCUGAGAGGCGAAAGAUUUAUCGCCGGAGGAUUGGCCCGCGUUCGAUUAGCUUGUUGGUGAGGUAACGGCUCACCAAGGCGAUGAUCGAUAGCUGGUCUGAGAGGAUGAUCAGCCACAUUGGGACUGAGACACGGCCCAAACUCCUACGGGAGGCAGCAGUGGGGAAUAUUGGACAAUGGGCGCAAGCCUGAUCCAGCCAUGCCGCGUGAGUGAUGACGGCCUUAGGGUUGUAAAGCUCUUUCGCUCGGGACGAUAAUGACGGUACCGAGAUAAGAAGCCCGGCUAACUUCGCGCCAGCACGCCGC